rnacentral:rRNA from 1 species
UACGGAGGGUGCAAGCGUUGCUCGGAAUUAUUGGGCGUAAAGGGUAGGUAGGUGGUCUCAUUUGUCUGGGGUGAAAGCCUUGAGCUUAACUCAAGAAGUGCCCCAGAAACGGUGAGACUGGAGUCCUGGAGAGGGUCGUGGAAUUCCCGGUGUAGCGGUGAAAUGCGUAGAGAUGCGGAGGAACACCGAUGGCGAAGGCAGCCCCCUGGGCUAGCACUGACGCUCAGGCACGAAAGCGUGGGGAGCAAACAGG